GACGAACGCUGGCGGCGUGCUUAACACAUGCAAGUCGAACGGAAAGGCUCCAGCUUGCUGGAGUACUCGAGUGGCGAACGGGUGAGUAACACGUGGGUGAUCUGCCCUGCACUUCGGGAUAAGCCUGGGAAACUGGGUCUAAUACCGGAUAGGACCGCACUUUGGUGUGUGUGGUGGAAAGGUUUUUCUGGUGUGGGAUGAGCUCGCGGCCUAUCAGUUUGUUGGUGGGGUAAUGGCCUACCAAGACGGCGACGGGUAGCCGGCCUGAGGGGGUGGACGGGCACAUUGGGACUGAGAUACGGCCCAGACUCCUACGGGAGGCAGCAGUGGGGAAUAUUGCACAAUGGGGGAAACCCUGAUGCAGCGACGCCGCGUGGGGGAUGAAGGCCUUCGGGUUGUAAACUCCUUUCGCUAGGGACGAAGCUUUUUGUGACGGUACCUGGAGAAGAAGCACCGGCUAACUACGUG
rnacentral:rRNA from 1 species